rnacentral:tRNA from 1 species
AGAAUAAUAAGCUAAUUAAAGCUAUUGGAUUCAUAUUUCAAAGAUAACAUAAAGUUUUAUUCUA